GAUGAACGCUGGCGGCGUGCCUAAUACAUGCAAGUCGAGCGAACAGAUGAGGAGCUUGCUCCUCUGACGUUAGCGGCGGACGGGUGAGUAACACGUGGAUAACCUACCUAUAAGACUGGGAUAACUUCGGGAAACCGGAGCUAAUACCGGAUAAUAUAUUGAACCGCAUGGUUCAAUAGUGAAAGACGGUUUUGCUGUCACUUAUAGAUGGAUCCGCGCCGCAUUAGCUAGUUGGUAAGGUAACGGCUUACCAAGGCAACGAUGCGUAGCCGACCUGAGAGGGUGAUAGGCCACACUGGAACUGAGACCCGGUCCAGACUCCUACGGGAGGCAGCAGUAGGGAAUCUUCCGCAAUGGGCGAAAGCCUGACGGAGCAACGCCGCGUGAGUGAUGAAGGUCUUCGGAUCGUAAAACUCUGUUAUUAGGGAAGAACAAAUGUGUAAGUAACUAUGCACGUCUUGACGGUACCUAAUCAGAAAGCCACGGCUAACUACGUG
rnacentral:rRNA from 1 species